CCUACUGGUGGCAGCAGUGGGGGAUAUUGCACAAUGGGGGGAACCCUGAUGCAGCGACGCCGCGUGGGUGAAGGAGCGUUUCGGCGCGUAAAGCCCUAUCGGCAGGGACGACGAUGACGGUACCUGACCAAGAAGCCCCGGCUAACUACGUGCCAGCAUCCGCGGGAAUACGUAGGGGGCAAGCGUCAUCCGGAUUUCCUGGGUUUAAAGGGGGUGAAGACGGCAAUGCAAGCCAGGAGGGAAAGCCCGGGGCCCAACCCCGGGACUGCUCUUGGAACUGCAUGGCUGGAGUACAGGAGGGGCAGGCGGAAGUCCUAGUGUAGCGGUGAAAUGCGUAGAUAUUAGGAGGAACACCGGUGGCGAAGGCGGCCUGCUGGACUGUGACUGACGUUGAGGCCCGAAGGCGUGGGGAGCAAACAGGAUUAGAUACCCUUGUAGUC
rnacentral:rRNA from 1 species